rnacentral:rRNA from 1 species
CAUCACAUCCUGGGGCUGUAGUAGGUCCCAAGGGUUGGGCUGUUCGCCCAUUAAAGUGGUACGCGAGCUGGGUUCAGAACGUCGUGAGACAGUUCGGUCCCUAUCCGUCGCAGGCGUAGGAAAUUUGAGAAGACCUGUCCUUAGUACGAGAGGACCGGGAUGGACGUACCUCUGGUGUACCAGUUGUUCUGCCAAGGGCAUGGCUGGGUAGCUAUGUACGGAAUGGAUAAGCGCUGAAAGCAUCUAAGCGCGAAGCCAACUUCAAGAUAAGAUUUCCCACCGCAAGGGUAAGACCCCAGAAAGACUAUCUGGUUGAUAGGUCGAAGGUGUAAGUGCAGCAAUGUAUUUAGCUUAUCGAUACUAAUAGGUCGAGGACUUGACCAAU